ACUUCCCCCUCUCCCACCAAGCCUUGCACGCCCCCCUCUCUCUUGCGCUCCUAUCCCCAUCUCUCCAUGCAGUCGCCGCCGCCACCUCCAAUUCUGUCCACUUCUCCAUUGUCGCCGCCAUCGCCGACCCGUCCAUGCCUCUCUCACCUCCGCCGAUUGCUCGCCGCCGCCCAAACAUCCCGGCUAGCAAUCGCCCCUGGCGUUGCUCCUCUUCUCCCCGCCUGCACUUUUCUCUGCUGCCGCCCAUGGCGCGUUCUCUGUGCCGCGUGUGCCUGAGUUGGGGUGGGGCGUGGUUGGAAGGAGGGCGUGCGUGGAGAACGCGAGCGAGAGAAAGGAUCACCGGGGGCAAAGAAAUUGAGGGAAUGUGGGGCCAUUGGAGGAGGUGCGGCCGGGGGAUAUGUGUGGUGGACGGCGGCGGGGCGGGCCAGUGGGAGUGCGGCCGUAGGCGGGGCGAUGGUGUGAUGGCCGGCAUGGUGGUGGUACAGGAACCGCAGCAGCGCGCUGGGGCUGGGGCUGUGCGGGCAUAUGUGCGUGUGCUGUGCUAGGUGAUGAGAGAUUGAGAGAGAGAGUUGGGAGAGAUUGAGAGUGAGAUGAUUGAGAGAUUGACAAAGAGAUGAUUGAGAUAUUGAGAGUAAGAUGCGCGAGAUUGAGAGUCUAUUUGUACUUUCUGCUGCAAUCUGUGUUCUCUGAUUAUACACUGUGCUACUGCAGUUUAUAAUUAUUGAGGCUUCAAAUGCUGUUGCUGCUGCUAUCUAUGCUUGCUCUUAUAUAGAGAUUGUGCUGCUAUUUGUUAUUGUUGCUAUCCUACGCAGAGGCUUCAAAUUGGUGUCGAGCACAACAUGUCGACCUCGAAGAAGAGCUUGAACAACCUGCCCCCACCCCUCCUGUGAAAGCAAGCUUGAAGGUGUAGUCAUUCAGGUUCGGAUUCAAAUGGUAGUUAUAGGAUAUUGUUAACGUAUAGAAGAGGGUAGAUGUUUUAGGGGAACUUCUGGAGUUGGAAUUUUUUUAGCAUGGUAGGUGCCAGGUGGUCGAUUGUGGAACAGAAGGCGUGGCGAUAGGGCAGAGGGGUGGACGCUACAAGUGGUUGGGGUCACGAAGAAGAGGCAGGCUGCAGCUCGCCAGCACCUUUACAACUGGGAUGGUGCGACCCAUGUUUCCGUACUCAUGGUGGUCACCGCUGCUUCAUGCUGUCGAGGUUGCCACCAAUGAAGCCCUCCACCGCCACCCCCUGCAAUGAGCUUUAACCGCUGCCUUCCCCUGGAAUGCCACCGCCCGUAGAUUCCAUUUAAGGAUUAGUUUUGCUCAUCAGGACGCCCACCAGGUCAAUUAUGUUUCAAGUUUUGAAGGUUACAAAGACUUGGAGUUCGGUGGUUCGGAGGAGUUGUACAGCAACCUGAUCAUGCUCUCAGAAUUCUAGGGGUAAAGCUACACAUGAGGAAUUGAGAAUUCUGAGUGCUUUCCAAUAUGUCUACAAAUAAGUAGCUUUUGUCUGUUAUGUUUUAUUUUUAAUUUUUUUACUUCCUGGCCUGCUGUGUGGAUUUAAUAUCUAGGUGUUUCAUAUUAUUAAAGAGUAUGGUAGGGGUAAACCAGACCAUGAUGCUCUUUGUAAUACAAGAAUAAAGUUUGGUGUGGAUGUGCACACUUCUGUUAUUGAUUUGCAUAUACAUCGAGCUAUAAUAUUCUUCAA